UUAGUAUUGUUUAGCAAAAACAAUAAAAACCCAAAUUUUUUUAACCAUCACUCAUGUCUCAGGUUUGUGCGUGUGCUUCAGAGGCCCUGGAUGGAGGGAAUCUGAAAGUAUGUCUUAAGUUUGACCUUUUUCUUUAGAUUCUUUGCUUUCUACUCUUUACCAUCUCUUUCCACCCUUUGAGAACAUCCAGGAAUGUGGUAUAAAGUGUAUAACUUAAGGGCGUCCAAGGUUGGGAGUUGUGUCUAAGUGGUGUCGGAGAAUAAAGGGGCUGGGUACAUGCAUAAGACCAUUUGUUACAGGACUUUUUAGAGGAAAAAGAGAGAAGACUGAGAAGUAAACUUUCGUAUCUACCUGCCAUUGGCCAGAACUUGAUUUAAAGUACCAAGCCUUUGAUUUGGUCUGCAUGGAAAUGUCGGCUUCUGGAGAAGGGAAAAGAGACUUUGCAAGACCUAGAAAACCUAAGAGGUGCAAUUAAAGGAAUGAAGAAAGAAGGGGAGUGAGUUACACCGGGGUUGAGUGACCUGUCAAGAGUACCACUGCUGCCUGUGGCGGCAGAGCUGGAACAAAACCCCAGGCUUUAUCCACUUUUGGGCUCUUAAUACUGCUCUGUGACUUUCCAGAUUGUGGGCAUGUGUACUGCUGAUGGUUGUUUACCAGGUUUAGGAUGGAACACAGAUGAGACAGGUGAGUGGGAGAAUUGUCCCCAGGAUUGAAAGAAUAUUGAACUGUUAGGGGUGCAGAAGUCUUGAAACUGAUGAAAUGUGUACUGGUAAUUUUGCAGUAUCUCCUUGUCUUUGAGAAAUUCCUCUUCCUCUCCAAAUACACACAUACCUCAGCGCCCAAUUACUUCCUCACCACCAUAUGUGCCUUUGGGUUUACUGCUAUUUAGAGCAUCCAAUCCAUAUACUAUAAAGAGCCUUACCACAUUGAGUUGAUAUUGAAUUUGCUGUUUAAGUCCGAGCAGCUCAUUACUGAUUUCUGUUUAUUGUUUUGAAAAUUGCUGAAGCACUUCAAUACUAGUUUAGGGGCUCCAGCCUGGGAACCACUGGUGCAGGGUAAAGGUUCCUUGACAAUUUCGAAGCUAAGAAUGUGUGUCAAGAUCUGUACUCCUGUAAGUCAUGUUGGUUGAAGAAGGAGUAGAGGUUUUUCAGUCAUACACAAAAAUAGAAUUUGUAAGAAUUUGUAAGAAUGUAUAAUGCUAGAAGCUACACUGUGGUAAGAAUGUAUAAUGCUAGAAGCUACAGUGUGUAGGGUGAGUGGUGGGGUUAAGAGUUUGGGAACUGGGAUCAGUCAUCUCUGAAGAUAAUUUUUUAUGGGAUGGAUUUGCAUUCUUGUCGCUGCUGGAGGCCGUGGGUGCCAUAGAAUUCUCUCUUAAGAAACUUGAAAUCAGCACAUAGCACCUAAACUUUGAGUUUAACAAAAAAAAAACCACAAAAUACCUUACAGGUGAAAAAGGGAUACUAUCUAGAUCCUAAAACGCUUCUUCCUAACCCUUGCACUUUUGAAAAUGUGGUGUACUUCACGAUGUCAAAAGAAACUUGCCAACUCAUUCCCUCAUUCCUGGCCCACAAAGUAUAAUAAUCAGUUCUGUUUUAUACUACCAUGCCUUGCUUCAAAGCCACCUGUGAAGCCAUCCUUGGCAAUUAAAAUGGAACGUGAUUCCUGUCAUUUAUAUCA